rnacentral:misc_RNA from 1 species
GUGGUUGGAAAAGUAUUAAGAGAAUUGUUGUUAUGUUGAUUUAAUAGGAUUUUUGUUGAAGGUAGGUAAGGGCGAUUAGAUGUUAAAGGUAGGGGAUGAGGAAUUUGAGUAGUUAUUAAAUUUUUUAAGAAUGAUUAGGUAUUGAGGGUGGUAGAAUUUUUUUUAAAUUGAUUUAGUAGGAUUAUUGUAAUAAUUGGGUAAGGUAGGUUGAAGGUAG